rnacentral:rRNA from 1 species
UACGGGGGGAGCAAGCGUUGUUCGGAUUUACUGGGCGUAAAGGGCGCGUAGGCGGCCACCGCAAGUCGACUGUGAAAUCUCCGGGCUUAACCCGGAACGGUCAGCCGAUACUGCGGGGCUAGAGUGCAGAAGGGGCAACUGGAAUUCUCGGUGUAGCGGUGAAAUGCGUAGAUAUCGAGAGGAACACCUGCGGCGAAGGCGGCUCACUGGACCGGAACUGACGCUGAGGCGCGAAAGCGUGGGGAGCAAACAGG